rnacentral:rRNA from 1 species
UGUGUAGGUGGUGUCGUAAGUUUGGUGUGAAAUCUCCCGGCUUAACUGGGAGGGUGCGCCGAAGACUGCGAUGCUUGAGUAUGGGAGAGGAAAGCGGAAUUCCUGGUGUAGCGGUGAAAUGCGUAGAUAUCAGGAGGAACACCUGCGGUGUAGACGGCUUUCUGGACCAUUACUGACACUGAGACACGAAAGCGUGGGUAGCAAACA